rnacentral:sRNA from 1 species
GGAAGUGGGUGUUGGAGGCUUUAAGGUAGCUUUAAAUUCGUGUUGUCCUGGGAGCUCGCCCUUUUCGGCUGGAGUCGGGCUUUACGGCGCCGGAUGGCUCUGGACGUGAAGUCUCGGGCAAAGCGUUAUGAGAAGCUGGACUUCCUUGGGGAGGGACAGUUUGCCACCGUUUACAAGGCCAGAGAUAAGAAUACCAACCAAAUUGUCGCCAUUAAGAAAGUGAGUUACCUUUUUAUGUUGUUUUUAAGUCUCCUUGAAGAU